GGUUAAGCGACUAAGCGUACACGGUGGAUGCCCUGGCAGUCAGAGGCGAUGAAGGACGUGCUAAUCUGCGAUAAGCGUCGGUAAGGUGAUAUGAACCGUUAUAACCGGCGAUUUCCGAAUGGGGAAACCCAGUGUGAUUCGUCACACUAUCAUUAACUGAAUCCAUAGGUUAAUGAGGCGAACCGGGGGAACUGAAACAUCUAAGUACCCCGAGGAAAAGAAAUCAACCGAGAUUCCCCCAGUAGCGGCGAGCGAACGGGGAGCAGCCCAGAGCCUGAAUCAGUGUGUGUGUUAGUGGAAGCGUCUGGAAAGGCGUGCGAUACAGGGUGACAGCCCCGUACACAAAAAUGCACAUACUGUGAGCUCGAUGAGUAGGGCGGGACACGUGGUAUCCUGUCUGAAUAUGGGGGGACCAUCCUCCAAGGCUAAAUACUCCUGACUGACCGAUAGUGAACCAGUACCGUGAGGGAAAGGCGAAAAGAACCCCGGCGAGGGGAGUGAAAAAGAACCUGAAACCGUGUACGUACAAGCAGUGGGAGCACGCUUAGGCGUGUGACUGCGUACCUUUUGUAUAAUGGGUCAGCGACUUAUAUUCUGUAGCAAGGUUAACCGAAUAGGGGAGCCGAAGGGAAACCGAGUCUUAACUGGGCGUUAAGUUGCAGGGUAUAGACCCGAAACCCGGUGAUCUAGCCAUGGGCAGGUUGAAGGUUGGGUAACACUAACUGGAGGACCGAACCGACUAAUGUUGAAAAAUUAGCGGAUGACUUGUGGCUGGGGGUGAAAGGCCAAUCAAACCGGGAGAUAGCUGGUUCUCCCCGAAAGCUAUUUAGGUAGCGCCUCGUGAAUUCAUCUCCGGGGUAGAGCACUGUUUCGGCAAGGGGGUCAUCCCGACUUACCAACCCGAUGCAAACUGCGAAUACCGGAGAAUGUUAUCACGGGAGACACACGGCGGGUGCUAACGUCCGUCGUGAAGAGGGAAACAACCCAGACCGCCAGCUAAGGUCCCAAAGUCAUGGUUAAGUGGGAAACGAUGUGGGAAGGCCCAGACAGCCAGGAUGUUGGCUUAGAAGCAGCCAUCAUUUAAAGAAAGCGUAAUAGCUCACUGGUCGAGUCGGCCUGCGCGGAAGAUGUAACGGGGCUAAACCAUGCACCGAAGCUGCGGCAGCGACGCUUAUGCGUUGUUGGGUAGGGGAGCGUUCUGUAAGCCUGUGAAGGUGUGCUGUGAGGUAUGCUGGAGGUAUCAGAAGUGCGAAUGCUGACAUAAGUAACGAUAAAGCGGGUGAAAAGCCCGCUCGCCGGAAGACCAAGGGUUCCUGUCCAACGUUAAUCGGGGCAGGGUGAGUCGACCCCUAAGGCGAGGCCGAAAGGCGUAGUCGAUGGGAAACAGGUUAAUAUUCCUGUACUUGGUGUUACUGCGAAGGGGGACGGAGAAGGCUAUGUUGGCCGGGCGACGGUUGUCCCGGUUUAAGCGUGUAGGCUGGUUUUCCAGGCAAAUCCGGAAAAUCAAGGCCGAGGCGUGAUGACGAGGCACUACGGUGCUGAAGCAACAAAUGCCCUGCUUCCAGGAAAAGCCUCUAAGCAUCAGGUAACAUCAAAUCGUACCCCAAACCGACACAGGUGGUCAGGUAGAGAAUACCAAGGCGCUUGAGAGAACUCGGGUGAAGGAACUAGGCAAAAUGGUGCCGUAACUUCGGGAGAAGGCACGCUGAUACGUAGGUGAAGCGACUUGCUCGUGGAGCUGAAAUCAGUCGAAGAUACCAGCUGGCUGCAACUGUUUAUUAAAAACACAGCACUGUGCAAACACGAAAGUGGACGUAUACGGUGUGACGCCUGCCCGGUGCCGGAAGGUUAAUUGAUGGGGUUAGCGCAAGCGAAGCUCUUGAUCGAAGCCCCGGUAAACGGCGGCCGUAACUAUAACGGUCCUAAGGUAGCGAAAUUCCUUGUCGGGUAAGUUCCGACCUGCACGAAUGGCGUAAUGAUGGCCAGGCUGUCUCCACCCGAGACUCAGUGAAAUUGAACUCGCUGUGAAGAUGCAGUGUACCCGCGGCAAGACGGAAAGACCCCGUGAACCUUUACUAUAGCUUGACACUGAACAUUGAGCCUUGAUGUGUAGGAUAGGUGGGAGGCUUUGAAGUGUGGACGCCAGUCUGCAUGGAGCCGACCUUGAAAUACCACCCUUUAAUGUUUGAUGUUCUAACGUGGACCCGUGAUCCGGGUUGCGGACAGUGUCUGGUGGGUAGUUUGACUGGGGCGGUCUCCUCCUAAAGAGUAACGGAGGAGCACGAAGGUUGGCUAAUCCUGGUCGGACAUCAGGAGGUUAGUGCAAUGGCAUAAGCCAGCUUGACUGCGAGCGUGACGGCGCGAGCAGGUGCGAAAGCAGGUCAUAGUGAUCCGGUGGUUCUGAAUGGAAGGGCCAUCGCUCAACGGAUAAAAGGUACUCCGGGGAUAACAGGCUGAUACCGCCCAAGAGUUCAUAUCGACGGCGGUGUUUGGCACCUCGAUGUCGGCUCAUCACAUCCUGGGGCUGAAGUAGGUCCCAAGGGUAUGGCUGUUCGCCAUUUAAAGUGGUACGCGAGCUGGGUUUAGAACGUCGUGAGACAGUUCGGUCCCUAUCUGCCGUGGGCGCUGGAGAACUGAGGGGGCUGCUCCUAGUACGAGAGGACCGGAGUGGACGCAUCACUGGUGUUCGGGUUGUCAUGCCAAUGGCACUGCCCGGUAGCUAAAUGCGGAAGAGAUAAGUGCUGAAAGCAUCUAAGCACGAAACUUGCCCCGAGAUGAGUUCUCCCUGACCCUUUAAGGGUCCUGAAGGAACGUUGAAGACGACGACGUUGAUAGGCCGGGUGUGUAAGCGCAGCGAUGCGUUGAGCUAACCGGUACUAAUGAACCGUGAGGCUUAACCUU
rnacentral:rRNA from 1 species